CCCCAGACAAAAUGCCGUCGGGGCUAAGCAAAUGCCAGCCCACACGAAGCGGGUAGCAAAAAUGCGCCAUCAUGGCACGCCGUAAGAAGAAGAUAAUAAAGAAGAAGCGCGGAUGCGAGAGAGCGACAGAGAGAGAGAGAGAGAGCAGUCGCUGCAGAGAGCAACAAAUUCGGAAUGAAUGUCGUUGGAAUGUGGUGAUUCCGAUACGCCGACGCUGGCGUCGCAGUCGCUGUCGCUGGCAUGGCUGCCUAUCGACAGCAGCGGCAGCCAUCAUGGAUGAGAGAGAAAACAACGUCGCUCCUCUCGCUCUUGCUCUUGCUGCCGGUCUCGUUCUCGCUGUAGCCACAGCCAUAGCUGCCAUGCUGCCCGAAACGCUGCCGCUAGCACUCACCUGCGGCGGCGGCUGUUGUGAAGUUCUGUGACGUGACUGAAAAAAUGUCGGAGCCAAGCGCCAAACCCGGGCCGGGCCGGGAUCGGAAUAGAAAUCCGAAACGUGACAGGGACAGGGAAAAGGGAGAAAGACAAUCGUUGUGCGGGCAAGUGCUCCUAUUGCGGCGGCUGUGACGGCCAACUGCGCCUGCGUCGGGGCCCGGGAAUAGGACGGGCACUGGGCCCGGACCUGGACUCGAAUCCCAACAAGGACUUUCAGGGUUUGAUUCCGCUUCGUCCCCUGGGGAGAGGCUGUCGCCAGCCUGCAGCUGUUCCAGCUCUUCGACGUGGGACGCAGACGGGACUCUGGACUCUCUCAUCUGCGUGUGUGUGUGUGUGGUUGUGUGUUUUAUGGCAUUUGUGGAUUAUACCCAUAAAAACUACACUUCCCCACGGAGAUACAAAGCGCACGAACAAAGGAUGAUAAUUGGAAAAGUCCCGCAGCCACUCAACUGAUACAACCUGUCGCACGGGAGAUUACAACGGAGCUGUUUCUUUUAUGGUUUGUUCCGCUUUUGUUUAAGGGUCCCGACCCGAGGAUCCGCACGCAAUCCCACCACCAGCUCAACUUAACACGAAUCGACUCGACUCGACUCGAUUCCACUCAUGCCGUUAAUUCCAUCCCUCUUUCGGUUUGCGGAGGCAGCUCAAAAUAGUGUUUUAUUGCUGUAAAUUAUUCUUUCAGUUAUUUACUUUUUAUUUGCCGCUGCUCGGCGCUCUGCGCCCUUCCCGCUCGGCCAGCGUUCACCCAGUUUCAAAUUUUUAUUAGUUUAUUACGAUUAUUAUCGUUUAAUGGGGCUCGUUUGCACCGCUGACGCUCACUCGUUAUUGUUGUUAAAGUUGUUGUAGUUCUUUCUGGUGGCUGCUGCUUUUGCUGUUGAGCAGAGCAACGUGUGAAGGUGUUUUAUUAUUUGUUUUGAUUAUCAAAAUGAGCAUUUUACAUUUUUCCGGUCGUUGGGCGGACCACCUGCCCAUGGCCCAUGGCCCUUGGCCUAUGGCUGAAUGGCAGUAAAUUACUGCCCGCUGUGAGUGCUCCGUGAGUAUGUGCGAGUGCACCCAGUGGGGCCAGGCACUCACUCCCUCAUUCGCACUCGCAGUACGACCCAUAAACUUAAGACGAAGUGUGGCAAAAUGCUUAAUUUGGAAUUUAUGAGCAAUUAAUUUUAAAAUUCUCUUUUGUCCGUUAACGCUCCGCCCCCACCACACCCCAACCCACCAUGUCUGACGCCAAGCCAUAAAAGAUCCGCUAAAAUUUGAUUAUUUAGCCACUCCGCUGAUUGAUCAUUAUUCAGUUGUUAUCGCCCAACACGAACACGGGAUUUGGCAAUCCGAGCCAGGCCAAUUGGGCAACGGCCAUAAAACUACGCGAAAGCCAAUUACAAUUGAAUUAUUCGGGUUGAUCGUAAAUCGAGAAUCAUAUUAUAUUUGACAGCUACUUUAGAAAGAGAGAGUGCAUGUAGAUAAAGGAAUUCAAAUAUAAUACUACAUAGAAAAUGUAAACACG